rnacentral:rRNA from 1 species
GAUGAACGCUGGCGGCGUGCCUAAUACAUGCAAGUCGAGCGAACGGACGAGAAGCUUGCUUCUCUGAUGUUAGCGGCGGACGGGUGAGUAACACGUGGAUAACCUACCUAUAAGACUGGGAUAACUUCGGGAAACCGGAGCUAAUACCGGAUAAUAUUUUGAACCGCAUGGUUCAAAAGUGAAAGACGGUCUUGCUGUCACUUAUAGAUGGAUCCGCGCUGCAUUAGCUAGUUGGUAAGGUAACGGCUUACCAAGGCAACGAUGCAUAGCCGACCUGAGAGGGUGAUCGGCCACACUGGAACUGAGACACGGUCCAGACUCCUACGGGAGGCAGCAGUAGGGAAUCUUCCGCAAUGGGCGAAAGCCUGACGGAGCAACGCCGCGUGAGUGAUGAAGGUCUUCGGAUCGUAAAACUCUGUUAUUAGGGAAGAACAUAUGUGUAAGUAACUGUGCACAUCUUGACGGUACCUAAUCAGAAAGCCACGGCUACUACGUG